GAGUGCUUUUUGAACAAAAUACAUACUUCGUAGUAUACGAGUACACACACCAUUCUUUAGAAUGAAUUACUUAUAAAAAACAUAUGCGAGAAAACAAAACACCAAUCAAACAAUGCGGACCUACUUUAUAGAAGGUAGAGGUGGCGCUACAAUACCUAAAAUAUUUGAAAAAAAAACGAAUCAUUGACAGCGCACUUCAAACCGUCAAUAACGCCUACGUUCUUAGCUACUCUAGCGCUACUCUGGAGAGAUUUGGAAUUAUUAUUUAUAGCUGACAGCCGGACACUUUUCCCAUGACGAGCAAAGCAAAGCGCAAGGGCAGUACCUAACUUUUCUCGAAGCGCUUCAUCGUUUUUUUGAACCCUCAUAACUUGGGUUUUGAUUAUACCAGACAAACAAAAUUCUCGAGAUAUAUUGUCAAUUGUAAACUUAUUGAGCAUAAAUACUUUACUCUCAUA